CAUGCAAGUCGAACGAUGAAGCCCAGCUUGCUGGGUGGAUUAGUGGCGAACGGGUGAGUAACACGUGAGCAACCUGCCCCUGACUCUGGGAUAAGCGCUGGAAACGGCGUCUAAUACUGGAUAUGUCCCGUCACCGCAUGGUGUGCGGGUGGAAAGAUUUUUCGGUUGGGGAUGGGCUCGCGGCCUAUCAGCUUGUUGGUGAGGUAAUGGCUCACCAAGGCGUCGACGGGUAGCCGGCCUGAGAGGGUGACCGGCCACACUGGGACUGAGACACGGCCCAGACUCCUACGGGAGGCAGCAGUGGGGAAUAUUGCACAAUGGGCGGAAGCCUGAUGCAGCAACGCCGCGUGAGGGAUGACGGCCUUCGGGUUGUAAACCUCUUUUAGCAGGGAAGAAGCGAGAGUGACGGUACCUGCAGAAAAAGCACCGGCUAACUACGUGCCAGCAGCCGCGGUAAUACGUAGGGUGCAAGCGUUAUCCGGAAUUAUUGGGCGUAAAGAGCUCGUAGGCGGUCUGUCGCGUCUGCUGUGAAAUCCCGAGGCUCAACCUCGGGCUUGCAGUGGGUACGGGCAGACUAGAGUGCGGUAGGGGAGAUUGGAAUUCCUGGUGUAGCGGUGGAAUGCGCAGAUAUCAGGAGGAACACCGAUGGCGAAGGCAGAUCUCUGGGCCGUAACUGACGCUGAGGAGCGAAAGGGUGGGGAGCAAACAGGCUUAGAUACCCUGGUAGUCCACCCCGUAAACGUUGGGAACUAGUUGUGGGGUCCUUUCCACGGAUUCCGUGACGCAGCUAACGCAUUAAGUUCCCCGCCUGGGGAGUAC
rnacentral:rRNA from 1 species